AUUGGUGGACUGUAUACCCCAUAUAUAUUGAGUACGUCUAUUGGUUCAUGGUGAUACAGGAAAACUUCAAGGUUCCUGCAGAUGGUGUUGAAAACUAUUGGCCAGUAAACACAAAUUAAACCCAUUUAAUUACAUCUUGAAUCUUCACCAGUAGAAAAAAGAUGGCAGUACUUUUAAUGCAAGCAGCUACUAAGGAAGAUUAAAUGAAGGAAGAUCAGGAAAUGGAGAAAAAGCUGAAGAACAAGGAGGACAAGAUGAAGAAAGAACAAGGGCACAGUGACUUGCAGUGUGUGUACAUGUAACAUUAUUACAAC